ACACAUGCAAGUCGAGGGGAAACGACAUCGAAAGCUUGCUUUUGAUGGGCGUCGACCGGCGCACGGGUGAGUAACGCGUAUCCAACCUGCCCACCACUUGGGGAUAACCUUGCGAAAGUAAGACUAAUACCCAAUGAUAUCUCUAGAAGGCAUCUGAAAGAGAUUAAAGAUUUAUCGGUGAUGGAUGGGAAUGCGUCUGAUUAGCUUGUUGGCGGGGUAACGGCCCACCAAGGCGACGAUCAGUAGGGGUUCUGAGAGGAAGGUCCCCCACAUUGGAACUGAGACACGGUCCAAACUCCUACGGGAGGCAGCAGUGAGGAAUAUUGGUCAAUGGACGAGAGUCUGAACCAGCCAAGUAGCGUGCAGGAUGACGGCCCUAUGGGUUGUAAACUGCUUUUAUAAGGGAAUAAAGUGAGUCUCGUGAGGCUUUUUGCAUGUACCUUAUGAAUAAGGACCGGCUAAUUCCGUGCCAGCAGCCGCGGUAAUACGGAAGGUCCGGGCGUUAUCCGGAUUUAUUGGGUUUAAAGGGAGCGUAGGCCGGAGAUUAAGCGUGUUGUGAAAUGUAGACGCUCAACGUCUGCACUGCAGCGCGAACUGGUUUCCUUGAGUACGCACAAAGUGGGCGGAAUUCGUGGUGUAGCGGUGAAAUGCUUAGAUAUCACGAAGAACUCCGAUUGCGAAGGCAGCUCACUGGAGCGCAACUGACGCUGAAGCUCGAAAGUGCGGGUAUCGAACAGGAUUAGAUACCCUGGUAGUCCGCACGGUAAACGAUGGAUGCCCGCUGUUGGUCUGAAUAGGUCAGCGGCCAAGCGAAAGCAUUAAGCAUCCCACCUGGGGAGUACGCCGGCAACGGUGAAACUCAAAGGAAUUGACGGGGG
rnacentral:rRNA from 1 species